GUAACUGACGCUGAGGGACGAAAGCUAGGGGAGCGAAAGGGAUUAGAUACCCCUGUAGUCCUAGCUGUAAACGAUGGAUACUAGGUGUUGGAUGUAUCGACCCAUUCAGUACCGUAGCCAACGCGAUAAGUAUCCCGCCUGGGGAGUACGCACGCAAGUGUGAAACUCAAAGGAAUUGACGGGGGCCCGCACAAGCGGUGGAGUAUGUGGUUUAAUUCGAUGCAACGCGAAGAACCUUACCAGGGCUUGACAUCCCGCGAACCUUGAUGAAAGUUGAGGGUGCCUUCGGGAGCGCGGAGACAGGUGGUGCAUGGCUGUCGUCAGCUCGUGUCGUGAGAUGUUGGGUUAAGUCCCGCAACGAGCGCAACCCACGUCCUUAGUUGCCAUCAUUAAGUUGGGCACUCUGGGGAGACUGCCGGGGACAACUCGGAGGAAGGUGUGGAUGACGUCAAGUCAUCAUGCCCCUUACGUUCUGGGCUACACACGUACUACAAUGCUUCGGACAAAGGGCAGCGAACCUGCGAGGGUGAGCUAAUCUCAUAAACCGAGGCACAGUUCAGAUUGCAGGCUGCAACUCGCCUGCAUGAAGGAGGAAUCGCUAGUAAUCGCCGGUCAGCAUACGGCGGUGAAUACGUUCCCGGGCCUUGCACACACUGCCCGUC
rnacentral:rRNA from 1 species